CAGAUAUCAAGGUAAUAACUAGUCAGACGGGAGAGAGAGAGCAAGGUAAUAACUAGACAGAAAGCAAGGUAAAUACUAGACAGAGACGGGAGAGAGAGAGCAAGGUAAUAACUAGACAGAGAUCAAGGUAAUAACUAGUCAGACGGGAGAGAGAGAGCAAGGUAAUAACUUGACAGAGAGCAAGGUAAUAACUAGACAGAGAUGGGAGAGAGAGAGCAAGGUAAUAACUAGACAGAGAGCAAGGUAAUAACUAGACAGAGAUCAAGGUAAUAACUAGUCAGACGGGAGAGAGAGAGCAAGGUAAAUACUAGACAGAGACGGGAGAGAGGGAGCAAGGUAAAAACUAGACAGAGACGGGAGACAGAGAACAAGGUAAUAACUAGGCAGAGACGGGAGACAGAGAGCAAGGUAAUAACUAGACAGAGAGCAAGGUAAUAACUGGACAGAGACGGAGACAGAAAGCAAGGUAAUAACUAGACAGAGAGCAAGGUAAUAACUAGACAGAGAGCAAUGUAAUAACUAGACAGAGCCGGGAGAGAGAGAGCAAGGUAAUAACGAGACAGAGAGCAAGGUAAUAACUAGACAGAGACAGGAGACAGAAAGCAAGGUAAUAACUAGACAGAGAGCAAUGUAAUAACUAGACAGAGCCGGGAGAGAGAGAGCAAGGUAAUAACUAGACAGAGAGCAAGGUAAUAACUAGACAGAGACGGGAGACAGAAAGCAAGGUAAUAACUAGACAGAUAGCAAGGUAAUAACUAGACAGAGACGGGAGACAGAAAGCAAGGUAAUAACUAGACAGAGAGCAAGGUAAUAACUAGACAGAGCCGGGAGAGAGAGAGCAAGGUAAUAACUAGACAGAGACGGGAGACAGAAAGCAAGGUAAUAACUAGACAGAGCCGGGAGAGAGAGAGCAAGGUAAAUACUAGACAGAGACGGGAGAGAGAGAGCAAGGUAAUAACUAGACAGAGAGCAAUGUCAUAACUAGACAGAGCCGGGAGAGAGAGAGCAAGGUAAUAACUAGACAGAGACGGGAGACCGAAAGCAAGGUAAUAACUAGACAGAGAGCAAGGUAAUAACUAGACAGAGCAGGGAGAGAGAGAGCAAGAUAAAUACUAGACAGAGACGGGAGAGAGAGAGCAAGGUAAAAACUAGAGAGAGACGGGAGAGAGAGAGCAAGAUAACAAUUAGACAGAGACGGGAGAGAGAGGGCAAGGUAAAAACUAGAGAGAGCCGGGAGAGAGAGAGCAAGGUAAAAACUAGACAGAGACGGGAGAGAGAGAGAGCAAGAUAAAUACUAGACAGAGACGGGAGAGAGAGAACAACGUAAAAACUCCACGGAGACGGGAGAAAGAGAGCAAGGUAAAUACUAGACAGAGACGGGAGAGAGAGAACAAGGUAAUAACUAGACAGAGAGCAAGGUAAAAAUUAGACAGAGAUGGGAGAGAGAGAACAAGGUAAUAACUAGACAGAGAGCAAAAUAAAAACUAGACAGAGAUGGGAGAGAGAGAGCAACGUAAAAACUCCACGGAGACGGGAGAGAGAGAGAGCAAGGUAAAAACUAGAGAGAGAUCAAGGUAAUAACUAGUCAGACGGGAGAGAGAGCAAGGUAAAUACUAGACAGAGACGGGAGAGAGAGAGCAAGGUAAAAACUAGACAGAGACGGGAGACAGAGAACAAGGUAAUAACUAGACAGAGACGGGAGACAGAGAGCAAGGUAAUAACUAGACAGAGAGCAAUGUCAUAACUAGACAUAGCCGGGAGAGAGAGAGCAAGGAAAUAACUAGACAGAGACGGGAGACCGAAAGCAAGGUAAUAACUAGACAGAGAGCAAGGUAAAAAUUACACAGAGAUGGGAGAGAGAGAACAAGGUAAUAACCAGACAGAGAGCAAGGUAUAAAUUAGACAGAGACGGGAGAGAGAGAGCAAGGUAAAAACUAGAGAGAGCCGGGAGAGAGAGAGAGAGCAAGAUAAAUACUAGACAGAGACGGGAGAGAGAGAGCAAGGUAAAAACUAGACAGAGACGGGAGAGAGAGCGCAAGGUAAUAACUAGAGAGAGCCGGGAGAGAGAGAGAGCAAGGUAAAAACUAGAGAGAGCCGGGAGAGAGAGAGAGCAAGGUAAAUACUAGACAGAGACGGGAGAGAGAGAACAAGGUAAUAACUAGACAGAUAGCAAGGUAAAAAUUAGACAGAGACGGGAGAGAGAGAGCAAGGUAAAAACUAGAGAGAGCCGGGAGAGAGAGAGAGCAAGAUAAAUACUAGACAGAGACGGGAGAGAGAGAGCAAGGUAAAAACUAGACAGAGAGCAAGGUAAAAACUAGACAGAGCCGGGAGAGAGAGAGCAAGGUAAAAACUAGACAGAGAGCAAGGUAAUAACUAGACAGAGAGCAAGGUAAACAGUAGACAGAGACGGGAGACAGAGAACAAGGUAAAAACUAGACAGAGACGGGAGACAGAGAGCAAGGUAAUAACUAGACAGAGAGCAAGGUAAUAACUAGACAGAGAGCAAGGUAAUAACUAGACAGAGAGCAAGGUAAUAACUAGUCAGACGGGAGAGAGAGAGCAAGGUAAAUACUAGACAGAGACGGGAGAGAGAGAGCAAGGUAAAAACUAGAGAGAGACGGGAGAGAGAGAGCAAGAUAACAAUUAGACAGAGACGGGAGAGAGAGAGCAAGGUAAAAACUAGAGAGAGCCGGGAGAGAGAGAGCAAGGUAAAAACUAGACAGAGACGGGAGAGAGAGAGAGCAAGAUAAAUACCAGACAGAGACGGGAGAGAGAGAACAACGUAAAAACUCCACGGAGACGGGAGAAAGAGAGCAAGGUAAAUACUAGACAGAGACGGGAGAGAGAGAACAAGGUAAUAACUAGACAGAGAGCAAGGUAAUAACUAGACAGAGAGCAAGGUAAUAACUAGACAGAGAGCAAGGUAAUAACUAGACAGAGACGGGAGACAGAGAGCAAGGUAAAAGUAGACAGAGAUCAAGGUAAUAACUAGUCAGACGGGAGAGAGAGAGCAAGGUAAAUACUAGACAGAGACGGGAGAGAGGGAGCAAUGUAUAAACUAGACAGAGAGCAAGGUAAUAACUGGACAGAGACGGGAGACAGAAAGCAAGGUAAUAACUAGACAGAGAGCAAGGUAAUAACUAGACAGAGAGCAAUGUAAUAACUAGACAGAGCCGGGAGAGAGAGAGCAAGGUAAUAACUAGACAGAGAGCAAGGUAAUAACUAGACAGAGACGGGAGACAGAAAGCAAGGUAAUAACUAGACAGAGAGCAAGGUAAUAACUAGACAGAGCCGGGAGAGAGAGAGCAAGGUAAUAACUAGACAGAGAGCAAGGUAAUAACUAGACAGAGACGGGAGACAGAAAGCAAGGUAAAUACUAGACAGAGACGGGAGAGAGAGAGCAAGGUAAUAACUAGACAGAGAAUGGGAGACAGAAAGCAAGGUAAUAACUAGACAGAGAUCAAGGUAAUAACUAGUCAGACGGGAGAGAGAGAGCAAGGUAAUAACUAGACAGAGAGCAAGGUAAUAACUAGACAGAGACGGGAGACAGAGAGCAAGGUAAAAACUAGACAGAGACGGGAGACAGAGAACAAGGUAAAAACUAGACAGAGACGGGAGACAGAGAGCAAGGUAAUAACUAGACAGAGAGCAAGGUAAUAACUAGACAGAGAGCAAGGUAAAACUAGACAGAGAUCAAGGUAAUAACUAGUCAGACGGGAGAGAGAGAGCAAGGUAAAAACUAGACAGAGACGGGAGACAGAGAGCAAGGUAAAUACUAGACAGAGAUGGGAGAGAGAGAGCAAGAUAAUAACUAGACAGAGAGCAAGGUAAUAACUAGACAGAGACGGGAGACAGAGAGCAAGGUAAAAACUAGACAGAGACGGGAGACAGAGAGCAAGGUAAUAACUAGACAGAGAGCAAGCUAAUAACUAGACAGAGACGGGAGACAGAGAGCAAGGUAAAAACUAGACAGAGACGGGAGACAGAGAACAAGGUAAAAACUAGACAGAGACGGGAGACAGAGAGCAAGGUAAUAACUAGUCAGACUGGAGAGAGAAAGCAAGGUAAUAACUAGACAGAGAGCAAUGUAAUAACUAGACAGAGACGGGAGACAGAGAGCAAGGUAAUAACUAGACAGACACGGGAGACAGAGAGCAAGGUAAUAACUAGACAGAGAGCAAGGUAAUAACUAGACAGAGAGCAAGGUAAUAACUCGACAGAGACGGG